rnacentral:rRNA from 2 species
AACGCUGGCGGCGUGCCUAAUACAUGCAAGUCGAACGAGUUCUCGUUGAUGAUCGGUGCUUGCACCGAGAUUCAACAUGGAACGAGUGGCGGACGGGUGAGUAACACGUGGGUAACCUGCCCUUAAGUGGGGGAUAACAUUUGGAAACAGAUGCUAAUACCGCAUAGAUCCAAGAACCGCAUGGUUCUUGGCUGAAAGAUGGCGUAAGCUAUCGCUUUUGGAUGGACCCGCGGCGUAUUAGCUAGUUGGUGAGGUAAUGGCUCACCAAGGCGAUGAUACGUAGCCGAACUGAGAGGUUGAUCGGCCACAUUGGGACUGAGACACGGCCCAAACUCCUACGGGAGGCAGCAGUAGGGAAUCUUCCACAAUGGACGCAAGUCUGAUGGAGCAACGCCGCGUGAGUGAAGAAGGCUUUCGGGUCGUAAAACUCUGUUGUUGGAGAAGAAUGGUCGGCAGAGUAACUGUUGUCGGCGUGACGGUAUCCAACCAGAAAGCCACGGCUAACUACGUGCCAGCAGCCGCGGUAAUACGUAGGUGGCAAGCGUUAUCCGGAUUUAUUGGGCGUAAAGCGAGCGCAGGCGGUUUUUUAAGUCUGAUGUGAAAGCCCUCGGCUUAACCGAGGAAGCGCAUCGGAAACUGGGAAACUUGAGUGCAGAAGAGGACAGUGGAACUCCAUGUGUAGCGGUGAAAUGCGUAGAUAUAUGGAAGAACACCAGUGGCGAAGGCGGCUGUCUGGUCUGUAACUGACGCUGAGGCUCGAAAGCAUGGGUAGCGAACAGGAUUAGAUACCCUGGUAGUCCAUGCCGUAAACGAUGAAUGCUAGGUGUUGGAGGGUUUCCGCCCUUCAGUGCCGCAGCUAACGCAUUAAGCAUUCCGCCUGGGGAGUACGACCGCAAGGUUGAAACUCAAAGGAAUUGACGGGGGCCCGCACAAGCGGUGGAGCAUGUGGUUUAAUUCGAAGCAACGCGAAGAACCUUACCAGGUCUUGACAUCUUUUGAUCACCUGAGAGAUCAGGUUUCCCCUUCGGGGGCAAAAUGACAGGUGGUGCAUGGUUGUCGUCAGCUCGUGUCGUGAGAUGUUGGGUUAAGUCCCGCAACGAGCGCAACCCUUAUGACUAGUUGCCAGCAUUUAGUUGGGCACUCUAGUAAGACUGCCGGUGACAAACCGGAGGAAGGUGGGGAUGACGUCAAAUCAUCAUGCCCCUUAUGACCUGGGCUACACACGUGCUACAAUGGAUGGUACAACGAGUUGCGAGACCGCGAGGUCAAGCUAAUCUCUUAAAGCCAUUCUCAGUUCGGACUGUAGGCUGCAACUCGCCUACACGAAGUCGGAAUCGCUAGUAAUCGCGGAUCAGCACGCCGCGGUGAAUACGUUCCCGGGCCUUGUACACACCGCCCGUCACACCAUGAGAGUUUGUAACACCCGAAGCCGGUGGCGUAACCCUUUUAGGGAGCGAGCCGUCUAAGGUGGGACAAAUGAUUAGGGUG